rnacentral:autocatalytically_spliced_intron from 1 species
UAAUCGUAGCACGCCAUACGGGUAUUCGUGUUUUCGGAAUGUCCGUAAUCACGAAUGAAGGAUACCACUUUGCCGAUGACUUUGUCAAUGACGAGCAGGAUGUUAUCCGUGCAG